UUUUUAGGUUAAAAACCUAGUAGAGGUCCUGGAGAGAAGGCUUAGCAAUCUGCUCUUGCAGAGGCUCAGAACCCAGCUUGGUUAGAAUUCCAGAUGGUUCUGAGCUACCAUGUGGAUGCUGAGAACUGAAUCCAGGUUCUCUUCAACUGCUUCCAGUACUCUCAACUUCUAAGCCAACUGUGCAGCCUCCACUUCUUUAUUUUUAAUCAGAAAGCAAAAAGUAUUUAAAAAAAAAAACAGUGCCUUUAAGUUUGUAUACUUCCCCUAUUAUCUUUAAAAUUAAAUACUAAGGUAACUUUUAUGCUAAAUGUAUCACUUUUUAUGCUAACUGUAUCUUUAUAAAUGUUGAUACAUUCACAAGUAAUCUAUGUAUUGCUUACUCUAGGUACUCCAAAUUUUCAUUGUAGGAGAAAGGCUCAUUGUUUAGGUCAUAGCUGGCAGAGCUCUGCAUACAGAUAAAAUGGGAAAAGAACUCUGUCCUGUUUUAAAAAUAGAAGCCCGUGCAGUUGAGCCUGGGUGGCUCUGGCUGUGGGACAUGAGCUUACUUGUACUUUUCUGACAGUUUUGACUUACUAAAAUAUAUGUUCAUCUUUCAGAUACAACUGUCAGAUAAAUCUCAUCCAGGUUUAAGUCUUUAAGUUCUGUGACCUCAUUCCUUUUUUUGUGUAUGUUGGUGUUUUUGCUCGCAUGUAUGCUUGUGUAAGGAUGUUAGAUUUCCUGGAACCAGAGCUACAGACAGUUGUGAGCUACCAGGUGGGUGCUGGGAAUUGAACCAGGGUCCUCUGGAAGAGUAACCAUUGCCCUUAACCUCCAAGCCAUCUUUGCAGCCCACUAUUGUAAACUCAUGAUGCUUUAUAUAAUCCUGUGCUGGUUUAAAGUCUGUCUCAGGGCUGUGUUCUGUAUUAAGAUUUUAGUUCAUUUCAACAUUACAUAAUGCCAGGGUAGCCUACACAGAUGAAUCAGAAAAUAAUGGCGACUCUUUAAUAAUAAGUUAAAGUUCUUUAGUUUCAGAGAACUGAGAGGACCAUGUUUUUUUUAGAAAGAAUCUGUCUCCAAAUCCUCUGAAGCUGGUUCAGUUCUCACUAGUACUCUGGAGAGAACUUAGUGGUUUCAAGCUGUCUUUUCUUUUUCCCUUUAGCAUUAGCUCUUGUUUAUGUUAUUCAUAGUAUGCUUAUUUUAAUAUAACAUUCUUUUAGUAUUAUACGCAGUAUGCUUAUUUUAAUAUAACAUUCUUUUAGUUGAAGAGAUGUAUAGCUUAGUUAAAACUUGGAGAACAUACCAUUGAGAUUGUUACUUACAGGACUAGUUAUGACUGCCACUGUGACCUGUGCAGGUCACUCUGAGAGUUGUUCUUCAUAAGCCGGUCACGGGUGUUAAGGGCACAUGAGAACUUGGACUCAGUGGUCUUGCUGCUUCCUCGUCACUUCAUGAAACCGAGGCGUGCUUCAGAACCUUGGCUGACUUUAGUACGGUGCAUUCAUCAUUUACUGAUGACUCGGAACUUAACCGUUCCCUAUUAGCCUAUUUAUUUUGUUUUUCAUAUCCUACUCUAAAAUUAUGCUGUGCCUUUAUUUGUAACUGCAACAAAACACUGACUGUUGUGGAUAGCCCUGGGGCUAAUUAUAUUUGAUGUUAAUUUCAUUCUCCUGUGAGGGGUUGUGAACAAGGAAAGAGUCAGCACUCAGGUGAUUUCCUGUAAACCUGCUUCCCACUUUAAUUUGUAAAAUAAAGGAGAGCUGAUGAUUGGGCAGAUAAAGGGAAGGUUGGGGGAGAGAAGGAAGAGAAAAUGGAAGAGGGAGAGGAAGCAGAGGAGGAGGAAGAAGAAAAGCAUAGCAGAAGCACAUGGCUUGGAGAAACUGCAAGUUCUAAGGGGUCUCUUAGAUGGUAGUAUAGCAGUAGAUUUGCCCAAUCUAGGCACACAGCAUGGAUUCAUAUUAAUUGAGUUGUGUUUUCAUUGCUGGAGCAUAUUUGGGUUGGAGAUUUACCACAACAAACUGAUGCUUUUUAUUUUGGAAAGCAUUUCUUCCUUAAUGAAGUAUAGAUGAAGGAAUAACUGGUUUAUUCUUAUGGCAUGAAAUAAUGGAGGCUGAAGCUCAGAACUCAGCCUGCCAUGACCCAGUAGUGUCCAGAUUUCCUGCUAGACAUUGCUAGUGUUUAUUCACUAGUCCAUGUUAAUGUGCUAGAUGCCACAUACACACAACAGAACUAUAGGGGUUUUUCAAGUCUUAACAGUCACUGUGUUUAUGAAUCACGUUAUAGUAUUUUACAUAUUUGUGUUGUUUAUGUUGAUUUUUUUAUCCUUAGAACUACCUUGAGACAUGAGCAUUGUCUUUUACAUAAACUCAGAGUCAGCAUGCAUAGACAAAAUUUUAAACCUCCUGAUUCCUUGUUAAUAUUCUGUCUGGUACUCUACGGAGAAAGCAAUAAUAAUUUUAUUACAUGGUGAUAAGAUGGUAAACUACUAGAAUAGUAAUAAUUCCCUAUUUAUAAAGCGCUAUUAAUCUUUGAAAAAAUUCAUACUUAAAAGAAUUUAGAAAGAAGAUUCUUUUGUACUUGUUGAAGUUUCCUUUAUUAGACUCAUCCAGUCAGUAGACCAAGCUGACUGUGUGGGGUACUGGAUUGUCACUAAAGAAGAAAAGUAGGCCCCACCAUUGAAGAAGAAGUUCAGCCAUCAAGAUACUGUUGACUUUCACUAUACAUGAGGACAGUGAGAUAGGCUAAAUUUGCUGAGCAUAUUGGAAAAUACUUUUUUUUUUUUUUACUGUUAAAAGGAGAAUCCUGUGACUGGUCCCAUCUGUAAUUGUUCCCAUCCUUUGUCCUUCAUGAAUACAGACGUGAUCCCUGGAUCUGCAGUAGACUGUUCUGAAGUAGCAAAUUCACACCCAUAAUGAGCAAAGAGAAUGAGCCUUGGACUCAAUGGCCUUCUUGAGCCUGUCUUCCUAAGCUCAGAGGACUUACUGUGAGCACCCUGUGGGGUAACAGCAAUGCCAUACUGUUUGUGGUACAUUAUACCCAAAUGUCAGUUAGCUAUCGUGUUUCCUUCUCACCAAACAAUUCCUACUUUUUAAAGAAAAAAUUAGCAUGGACUGUAAGAUAGUGUAAUCAACCCACAGCGGCCAGCUCCAAUAUUAAUCAAUAUGUAGUCAGUCUUUUGUGCUCAUGUACUUUCUUUCCUAGUCAUAGCUAAAUGUAAUGGCUCCAUAAUGAAAGUUUGUGAAAAUACUGAGAAAGCACAGGGAAGAGAGUGCCUAAGCUGGUAAGUGGUAGAGGCUAUCAUGAAAGGCUACACCAAGGAAAUAAUAUCAGCAUAGGCUUUAGGACAAG
rnacentral:lncRNA from 1 species